UGCUGUUACGGUGACCUUUGUAACGCCGCCGGGUGUGGUACAGAUGGAUUUCCAAAACAGAGGGGACCGGUAUGUUUCAAUUGUCCACAAUCACGUGAUCCUGCCGAUUGUGCCGUCAUAUCAGUUUGUCAUCAGGGACAGGUUUGUCAUGUUGAAGAAAUUUACGAGUUCGGCGAUGUAUUCUACAAAACCAGCUGUGUACAGAAUACUG